rnacentral:lncRNA from 1 species
UUUAUUCUUGGAGAUGCCUUUUCUUGUAGUCUUGAUUUUGUUUGGAAAACCUACCAAACUUUGCUCUCUUAUCGUAUCUUCUCUGCCCGUAUCUUGUGCUCCUGAUUUUCGGCUUUCAUCAAUGCCAUCUAAUCCACGAGACUGCUUUCCUUUUUCCUCUCUAUGAUUAACGUUGAGGGCACUGAAUCUGGAACUACCAACCACACCACCAUCCAUGUCGUCGUUGGGGCUCAUCGUCGAUCAAGGCUUCCUCCUCUGUCUGUAUUCAACAAGCAUCCAAGGAGCCAACUGCUCCUCCUCAACUUUUUUUUUGCAUCUCAGAACCCUGUAUUUGUGACUGGUUGUCUUCUUUCUCUGAGGCAACACCUUGACCAGAUUUGUGCAAAGAAAACUAUCAGUUGUGCCUAAAUCUCCCAUAAUGAAACAAACCAUAGGUAAGGAUUCAUACUCGACACAUUGAGUUUUCCCAUCGAUUUGUAUGGACAAAACUCUUGGUUGUGCCCAAAUCUCCUGCAAUUGAAGCGAACCAUAGGUAAGGAUUCAGACUUGACAUGUUAAGUUUUCCCAUCGAUUUUAAAUUUUGAGACUAGAGGCUUUCCCAAGUCAACGUAGACCGCAAUUCUAGCAAAUUUCCCUCUAAAGCUAUUAUCUAUAUUACAGUCGAUCUUCCCCACCGGGCCGAUUACACUUCCAAUAAACUGUAGCAGACUUUUGGUGCACAUACCCCCUGGCAAUCCUAGUAACAUAAUCCAAAUCAUUAAACUUUUGGGUUGAACUUGGUCAAUCCAGAAUGCUAGUGUCCAAAACUGCACAGUGAGGUAUUGUUAAAGGUUGGUCAGCAUGUGGCGCCAAGGGCAGCAAAGAAGCAGGCCAUGCAACUCAAGCCAAGCAGGAGCUGUUGAACCAAGUGCAGCUUGUUGAAUUUAGUUUAUUUUUGUUAUUUUGGUUAAUAUAAUGCAUUUUGGUUCAUUUUGAACUAUGUUAAGGUAGAAGUUUGAUGUAUUUCUAAAGUGAUUGAGCUGUUAAUCAGCUUUGUUCAUGUGUACAAGCUUAGUUUUGUAAGUUCCAAUAUAUUAGUUGUAGUUGGUAUAGAUUAGUUGACCUUAUACUGAUUUUGACAAGCACAAUGCUUGGUUUAUGUAUUGGCAUUAUGUCAUUGUCCUUAAUUAAUGAAAUUAUCAUCAUUUUUCAUUCAAGCAUUAUGUCAUUGUUCUUAAUUAAU